GCUUUCAAUUAAAAAACUAAUGAUUAUGCUACCUUAGCACAGUCAAAAUACUGCGGCC
rnacentral:tRNA from 1 species